AUUCCGGUUGAUCCUGGCGGCGGCCACCGCUAUAGGAAUUCGAUUAAGACAUGCGAGUCGAGAGUCGUAAUGGACUCGGCGGACUACUCAGUAACACGUGGACAACGUGCCCUUAAGUGGGGGAUAAUCUCGGGAAAUUGAGGAUAAUACCCCAUAGAUCAUGGCAUCUGGAAUGAGCUAUGGUUCAAAGUUCCGGCGCUUAAGGAUCGGUCUGCGGCCUAUCAGGUAGUAGUGGGUGUAAAGUACCUACUAGCCUAUGACGGGUAUGGGCCUUGAGAGAGGGAGCCCAGAGUUGGAUUCUGAGACACGAAUCCAGGCCCUACGGGGCGCAGCAGUCGCGAAAACUUUACACUGGGGGCAACCCCGAUGAGGGAAUUCCUAGUGCUAGCUCUUUUUGAGUUAGCUUUUCUUUAGCGUAGAUAACUAAAGGAAUAAGGGCUGGGUAAGACGGGUGCCAGCAGCCGCGGUAAA
rnacentral:rRNA from 1 species